ACGCUUGAAUUCGACGCGGCGCGGGUCUACAUGUGUUCUGCUCUUCGGAGCUAUGGACAUAAACGCGCUCAUAAUAAGCGGAUCGGACCCGGGGGCGGUACCCGGCGGCUCCACCAAAUAUCCCGCGUUGGGGGAUCAUGGGGCCGAAACAGGAUCGACGAACGUCUAAAGGGGUUAUGCUUUGUCUCGGCUGUCUGCCACCGUUACCGGCGAAAACAGUACAAUUGCCAACGACAAUCGUGCUCCGGUCGCCGUUGCUGCGUAAGCAGUAACUGACCGAAAAUUAAGCCCUUGCGCCUAGCAGCGUAAGGCGGGGUUCGCAGGCACCUGGCAACAGAAGCCUGCAUU
rnacentral:tmRNA from 1 species